UGAAGGAAAUAUGUCGCUGGAGCUGAGCUU
rnacentral:piRNA from 1 species